rnacentral:rRNA from 1 species
UACGUAGGGAGCGAGCGUUGUCCGGAUUUACUGGGUGUAAAGGGUGCGUAGGCGGCUAAGCAAGUCAGAUGUGAAAUUUAUGGGCUUAACCCAUAACCUGCAUUUGAAACUGCGUAGCUUGAGUGAAGUAGAGGCAGGCGGAAUUCCCUGUGUAGCGGUGAAAUGCGUAGAGAUAGGGAGGAACACCAGUGGCGAAGGCGGCCUGCUGGGCUUUAACUGACGCUGAGGCACGAAAGCGUGGGUAGCAAACAGG